rfam:Bradyrhizobiaceae bacterium SG-6C chromosome, whole genome shotgun sequence.
GUGCUCGAUCUGCUGCGGACAGAUGAAAUGGAUGUGCGAGUCGAAGCCGCCCGCGGUGAGAAUCUUGCCUUCGCCUGCGAUGAUGUCGGUGCCGGGGCCGAUCACGAUGGUCACGCCGGGCUGGAUGUCCGGAUUGCCCGCCUUGCCGAUGGCCGAAAUCAGGCCAUCCUUGAUGGCAACGUCCGCCUUGACGAUGCCCCAGUGAUCGACAAUCAGCGCAUUGGUGAUGACCGUAUCAGCCGCGCCCUGCCUGUUGGUGAUCUGGCUUUGACCCAUGCCAUCGCGGAUCAC